CCACCCUCCGCGCUGCAGCCGACGUGCGCGCGCCCACGGCCUGCGCCCCGCCCUCCCUCGGCGCCCGCCUUCCAGCGCCAUUCCCCCGCGUCCCCUCGCGUCCCCGGCCAUGGAGGGUCUGGUGCUGCGCCCCGCCAAGGGCUACCGGGUGGUGCUGCUCGGCAGCGUGGCGGUGGGCAAGACGGCGCUGGCCACGCAGUUCGCGUGCGGCCGCUUCCCCGAGCGCUGCGAGCCGUCGGUGGAAGAGCUGUUCAGCAAGGUGAUCGAGGUGAACCAGGCGCCCGCGCUGCUGGAGAUCGUGGACACCGUGGGCGCCGAGCACCUGGUCACCCUGAAGGACCUGUACAUCCGGAACAGCGACGGCUUCGUGGUGCUCUACAGCGUGUGCAACGAGGCCUCGUUCGAGGCGGUGCGGCCGCUGCGGGAGCGCAUGGGCCGGCUGCGCGGCGCGCGCGCGGUGCCGCUGGUGCUGGUGGGCACCAAGGCCGACCUGGACGCCGAGCGCCAGGUGCUGACGGCGCAGGGCCGCGCUCUGGCCCGCGAGUGGCGCUGCCCGUUCCUGGAGGUCACGGCCAAGAGCAAGAUGAUGGUGGACCGCGUGUUCACGCAGGUGGUGCGUGAGAUGGAGGCCCUGGCCCCGCCGGAGGAGGCUCCCCGCGUCCCCGCCAACGCCCAGGAGACGUGGCCAUCCGAGAGGUUCAUUGGCUAGUGCGCAGCUGUUGGCCCCGGCCGGUGCUUGCCGCUCUCUGGGGACUUCUGAACUCAGCAUUCACACCCAGUGCCUUUUAUGAGAAAGUUCCCGAACAAGUAGGCCACUUCUGGAGGUGAACCCAAAACAAUGGGUGUCUCGCUUCGAUAUUUGGCAAAAACGAAAAUCGUGCAAUCUUUGGUGACCUCUGACUGUGCUAUAAGAAGAAACCAAAAAUCUCAUUUUCCUGUAGAGAGAAAUUAGUCUUGUUCUUCGAUCAGAGUUUGUUACUCAACCCCCUCCCUCGCCUUCCAGUUUUUUGUAAAGCGCAGCUUCCAAGCUUGGAUUGAUUGAGGAGUGCGUACUAAAGACAAGUUUUCGUCAGUGGCUGGAGGGGUUUCCCUCUCCUUUACAGCAUUGAAUCGCACCAGUAAGAUUUUCCUCCAUAUGAAUUCCUAAAUAUAGUUAUGACCUAGGCAGCAUUGGUUUGAAAGCGGAUACGGUGUGGACAACAGCUGUGUGCGCACACAAAGAUAGCUUGGCUCUACCUUGUAGUUGGCAUCUUGUCCGUUUUUGCAUCCCUACAUUAGAAAUAAAGUUAAGACAUUGGUAAUUUUUAA